rnacentral:lncRNA from 1 species
UGAUGCGAUGUAGUAGUUUUUGGUUGUAUAUGUUGUGUGGUGUGAUGAUGUAGUAUUGUAUUUUCUUGUAGUAAUUUUUGAUUUAUGGUAUGAAUAUAUAUUCUUGGUAUGAAAGAAUGAUGUUGAAUGAUUAAAUGAUGUUGAAUAGUUAAAUAUUGGAUAAUUUUAAUAAUUAAUUUUUUUGUGCAACUAAUAUUGUAUAAAUUGUAACAUUAAUGAUUACAAAAUUAUUUUAGCAUGUACAAAUAUAAUUUGCAUUAUAAUUUUUAUGGCCCUUUUAGCAUAAUUUUUUUUCUCCUAAUCUUCUGAGACACAUGAGACUACGUGUAUCCAUGUCCACAAAGCAUAACAUCCGAUCACUUG